UGAAGCGGGAGGCGUGGGAGAGCGCGUCCGGGCUUUCUGGUGCUGCCGCUCUCACGCGCUCUCGCGCCUGUUAGGACGACCCUAACUUCUGGACGCUGGGUCGAGAGCUCUCCUGGGGGCAGCUGGACCUGAGAGAGGCAGGGGAGAGAACUUUGGAGGGUCUAACAGGGCCUGGAGGCCCCACGUUCUGAAACUUGCUCCAGAGCAAGAUGGUGAGCCAUG
rnacentral:lncRNA from 1 species